CUUUUUUUUUUUUACUAAAUUAAAGUUCUCCAAUGGCCAUUAGGAACAUUGUCGGGAAUCACUUUAUUAAAAAUUCAACAAUUAACAUGUUGCAUGUUUUUGCCAUACAAGAGCAAAUUUUAAACUACUACACACGCAACAUGCAUGUUUACUAUUUUUGAAAAUUCAAACGUUUGGGGUAUAUUUAGUAACAGUUUUCAAAAACUUUUUAAAAAUUGUUAUCUAAUGUUUUAUGUGAAAAAAAAAUAUUUAUUUUAAAACCUAAAAUGUUAAUAAUCUAUUUUUAAUAUUUUUUAAAAAUAAUUUUUAUGUUUAAUAUUUUAUUUUUAAUAAUUUUAUAUGUUUGUAUAAUUAUUUUUAAAAAUAAUCAUAAAAAAACAAGUGAAGAUAAUAGAAAAUAACUAAAAGAUGUUAUCUAAAAAUAUCAUAUUUUUUAUUAUCAAAUGUAUUUUUAUUUUGUUUUUUGUUCUAGAUAACAAAAAAACUAUUCUCAAAAACAGUUAUCAAAUAGACCAUUUCUAUCCUAAAACCAACAAAAAUUUUAAAAAAUAAAAAAGCGCUUAAAGUAAUAUUAUUUGGGCAUCUCUUUGAAAUUAUAAAAUUGAAAAAUACUAGUGAAAGCAAAUGAACCCUAAGUAUUAAAAUAUAAAGAUAUAGCAUAAAUGAGCUGGGAUAGAGUUGAAGUAUGAAAAGACUUAAAUCUGGCUUAAUAAAGUGGUUGACAAAAAAACAACUUUAGUUUUAUACUACCGUAUUAAAGUCUAAAUUAAGAAAGAAGAUUAUGUAUAUACGGUAACAUGUUUUUUUUCUUAGAAUAUUAUAAACCUUCUAUUUUGUUCUUUUGACACAUUCCAUAUAGGAUUGUCCUCCUACAUCCUUUGAUGCUUUAAUGUGCAAUUGUGGUUAUUUUUUGAGUUGUUUUUAGCUCUUAUUAAUUGAUGGUCUACUAAGACUAUAUCAAUGACUAGUUUUGAAUUUUCAAUUAGAUAUUUUGGAGAGACUAAAUGGAUCCCUAUUUCGUGUGUAGUGAUCCUUAAUUAUUAAUUUAGGACUUUGUUUUUUUGAUUGAGUUAUAGCAUAUUUAGGUUUGUUUAGAAUUCUAAAAUCUUAAUUCUUACAAAUAAAUUCAUGUUUUAAAAUAAUAUAAUAAUUGAUAUCAUAUUCUUUAAAAAUAUAAAAUACAAUAAGGUUUUGAUAAUGAAUUGGAAUGAGGUAUUUUUUUUUUAAAGAAUGAUUUAAUAAGAUUCAAGUUUUUUUUUUUGUCAACUUUAUCUUAUAAAUUAUAGAAAUUGAGGUAUUAAUCAAUAUAUUGAAUGAUUAAAUUGAGAAAUAAUAUGUUAAGAUUAUUAAAUAUAUAUUCAAAGCUUUAUUUUAUGAUAAAAUAAUUUUAUUUUUUAACAUCACAGAAAUCCUAAAUCAAAAUAAAGAUUUGAGUUUAUUAAUAUAUAUCAAAGCAAUUAUUUUUUUAAUACUUUAUGAACCAAAAACAAAAUUAUAAUUUGAGUUUAUUAUGGUUAUCUAAUUCAUGUCUUAAAAUAUAAAACAAAAUGUGUUUUUUUUUUAUAAUAAACAUGCCAAAAUAAUUAUUAUUUUUAGAUAUCAUGAAUCAUAAGUAAAGUGUAUAUGAUAUUAACAAUCACACAUCAAAACAUAAAAUAAUUUAAUUUUGUAAAUCAAAAACAAAUAUGCAACUUGUAUGAUUUUAUGAAAUAUUUAUACUUAGCUUUCAUAUAAUUUAAAACAUACCAAACACACCUUAAACUAACCCAUGCAUCAACCGUCCAUCAAUAUUCUCCAUAGGUCGUUAGCCUAGCUUCCCAUUUCUCUCACCCAUCAAUUGUGUUUUGUUGCUACUUGCUACUGCUCAUAUUUCAGAUGGCUUAAAACGUAUCUUAACCCCAUACCACUCUCUCUUUAAAGCUUAGUUGCUCAAGACAAGUACUUCAGACCAUGCCAUACCCUGCAACACCCUAUUCUUUAGGCAAUCAAAAAAACCUAUCUCUACCACCUUCAUCAGACAUCAAACGUCUUUCUUCUGACACAGCCCAUGCUUUGGGCUGCCCAAAACCAUCUAUCAUAAUGAAUAGCCACCCAUGCUUCCCAUCCACUAAUUCUCCCUCCUUAUCCCUCCGCACAUGCACAUUUUGAUCAGCAGCACCCAGCCUCACUAUGAUGUCGUCUUCUUCUUUCCUUCAAACUGAACACCAUAGCAGUUUCAAUAUGCAGCAAAUCAUCCGUGAAGAGGUGGCGAGGAUGGCUCGACCCAAACGUUUUUUGGUCAUCAUGUAGAACUCGAUUGUCAACUCCAUCGAAACUCACCGCGGGGAAUCCGACAUGCAACAACAAGAGAAUCCGACGGGCACUAGACGAAUGGGAUGUGUACCAGCAGAACGUGCCAUGAGGAGCAGAAACGACGAGUGCGCAGCUGAAUUGCAACAAGCUUCAGCCUUAUUCAACCCACAACUCGUUCAGAUGCUAAAAGGACUUCAUGGAUGAGGUCUCUUGAGGCUUGCCAAGAUUUUUCUGUUGCAGUUCUUUAAUCCCGACAGGUUUUCCCUUUCAUGGAUGACUUUUUUUAUUUUCUGGUCUUGGGCCCUUUGGAUUUAAGAUUGUUUUUCUUAUAAGUGAUUUCUUGGUCUCAUUAUGCUGUUAUAUUUGACAUUUUUGGUUCAUUCCUGAUUGGAAUAUUGUUCUUUCUUAUAUUUUCUUCCAUUUGGCAUAACAGAGUGUUUGCCAUGGAUUCAUAUAUGAUCUUAUUGGAUUUUAAUAUAGUCAUCAUUUCAAUUACAAAUAUUUUCUCUAUUUAUCAAUUGCAGUGCAUAAUUUUUUAUCUCAGUUAUUUUAGUAUAGAUGAAAAGAACUUGAAGUUUCUCUUCUUACUCUGAAAGUAGGAGUACUGAAAAUUACCCAUCAGUCCAUGUGAAAGGUUGUGGGAGUGAAAAAAAUAAAGGAAGAUGGGGAGGAGAGGCAGAAUGUGGAGAGUGGAGGCAUGAAGGUGGGGAGGAGAGGCAGAUCACCCAAUAGAGAAUAGAAUAAUCCUUACCUUCAACAAAUGGGCCAUGUUCUCUGCUCUUCGAUUCAAAGGCCCCAUUAAAUAAAUAAAUAAAUAAAAAAUCUAUUACUUUUCACAACCCUACCUAUGCUCUGUGGCCUAUCAGAUAAAAUCCAAGUAGUUAGAUUCACAACUCUAACACCCUCAUCAUGCCCUCCACCAGCUCCCACCUAAAAAGAGAUAAAUUAUAUGAUUGUUUCUACUUUUUAUUUCGUUUGUUGUCAUAAAAGGAAUUAUGAUAAGUAAUUUUCAGAUUUUAUGGUUGUAGUGACUUGUAAGUACUAAUUCUUGACUCCUUCAUUUUAACCUUAUACUUUACUUCUACAAACCAAAAUAUGAUUUUUGGGUUUGGUUAGAAGCAAUUUAAGGGGGAAAAUUGAUUUUUAAUUUAAAAUUUAAAAUUCUUUUUUAAUAUUCUUUUUAUUUUUAGUUUAUCAGAAAAAAUUAUUAUAUUUAGAAUAAGGAACUAAUUUUUCAUUCCUACAUUUUGAAACAUUGGAUUAUGUGAUUUUGAAAGUCAAAUUGAUUAUAAACAGGAAGGGGCUAAGGGUUGGAUGGGUGGAAGGAGAAUCAUUGCAUGGGACAGUAUGAAUAUUGACACAAAAAAAGAUACUUCCGAAAAAAAAAAGGGGGGGUUUGGUGUAGUUUGCAUAGAUGCACGAGGAAGUUGAUUGAUUCCCAAUGAAAAGGUAUAAGAGUAGAAAGAAGAAACAGGAGCAAAGACUUUAGUCUGGCAAGGGGAAUUGUUUUUUUGAAGGAGAAUUGUUUUUUUGAUGGUAAAAUUCCAUUUCCACCACAUUUCCCAUCCAAAUCAGGAACCUGUACAAAUGAUGCCAUCGCACAUGAGGAAAAUCAUCUGGCUUUCACUAUUUUAUGCUUGUUUUUUUUGUGGCAUGUGGCAUGAUGUCACUUGUCCAGGGGACGUGAACGCUACUUUCCAAAUUUGGUUUUCCCCUUCCACCACCUCCUGCUUCAUCCUACUCAUCCAUAAUCCAUCUCUCUCCCCCCACCAAAAGAUACCCUGCAAAAACAGUGGUCCUGAUGUCACUCCUGAGCCUAAAAACACAAGCAACCCUUGAACAUGAUAUGAAUAUAUUUACUCAAAUGCUUGUAUGCAUAAUUCUAUGAAGUUAUUUACUAAAUUUUUAUUUUAUUAGAAUGCAUCAUAGUGUAGAGACUGUCCAAAGAUUUCCAUGCAUUUGUUUGCAAGAUCAAUGUCAAUAGGCAAACAAAAUCAUUGGGAUUUGGUACGUUAGUUUCUAUAUAUGUAAUAUAUUGAACAUGGUAGCUACAAAACAAAAAAAAAACUAUGUGACAUGAAAGGAUGUUGAAUAAAAUAAAUGCAUGACUAGGGUUUAAUUGGAUGAUUUUACAAUCUCAAAUGCCCUUUCUCAUGCAAAAUGACAUCCAAGGAUGUGUUUACUUAAUGUGUGGGAGUAAUGUUCCUACUCUAAGGAAUGCAAAAACCAAUAAUUAAAUAAAAUUAUUAUUAUAUAUUUUUAAAAAUUAUUCUCAUUCUAAAAUUUUGUUUUAAAGGGAUUACAACUUCAUCUUUAAAAAAAAAAAAAAAAGUGAAAGAGUUUAGAAUUUAAUUUGACAUAUUUAUAUUUCAUUGACUAGGUAUAAUUAUUAAGGAUUUGAUAUUUUUAAUAUUAUUUAAAUUUGAUAAAUAAUUAUUAAUAUUAAUAUUUAUAUAAACAAAAUAAAAUAAAUUUAUUAAUUCCCCUUACAUGUGUUGAUAACUACUUUAAAAUCAAGUGAAACCCACAAAUAUUAAACCAACUUUCAUUUCAUUUCAAUUAUCAUCAUAAAUUGAUAUGGGUUUGCUCAAAAACACAUUAUUUAAAGUGUCUUUUCUUUAAAUUUCACUUGCCUCGUUCGAUAUUUGAACUAAAUACACUUAAUCACUGAGAGUUCAAAAUUGAAACCCUUUGAUAAGACACAUGCUAAACAACCCCCUUGAUAAGACCGGUGAUGGUUGAACAUUGGUAUAAACUUUAGUAUGAGUAAUACUCAAGAUGGAGAUAAGCAUGUUGCAUGGAAUAGAUCAAACACAAAGGUGUACCUCUAAAUGGUUAAACCCUACAAUGAAUAGAAUAUGAAUGUCUAGACACUUAAUUGGUUUUCAUAUGAGAUGACUAACUCCUUGCAAAUGUUAUUUCAUAAUGUUUCCAACAUAGCUAAAAGACAAUGAUGCUCUCUCCUCAUGCCAAUAGCAUCAACCGCAACCUCUUAUGUCAUCAGCUUGGGUUAAAAAAAAAUGAACCAAAGAAAGAAACAAAGAAAAAGGAACUUAACCAUAAACCAGUCUUCUGAUAUUGCUAAUCAUAUAAAGACUAGCCCAGGCAUUCAUAGUAGUAAAUUGAUGUUUCACCAAAUAUUCAUCAGAUAGUCACAAACAGGUAACUAAAUCCAAUUGAAUGUUUUCCAAGGCAAUCUCUUAGCAAAAGUAGCAAUAACUACAAACUCUCAUUAUGCCAGACCUACCAACAUAAGUCUAUUUUUUUGGAAAAGAAUGGUAUUGCCAUCUGGUUUCAGUAUGUCUAGCAACUACAAAAUGGACUCUCUUCAAACGUUUAGUUUCAAAUUAAGCAAUGGCUUGCUUCAAAUAUGCAAUCAAG
rnacentral:lncRNA from 1 species